rnacentral:rRNA from 1 species
CUCCCGACUGAAAGUACUUUACAACCCGAAGGCCUUCUUCAUACACGCGGCAUGGCUGCAUCAGGCUUGCGCCCAUUGUGCAAUAUUCCCCACUGCUGCCUCCCGUAGGAGUCUGGGCCGUGUCUCAGUCCCAGUGUGGCUGAUCAUCCUCUCAGACCAGCUAGGGAUCGUCGCCUUGGUGAGCCAUUACCUCACCAACUAGCUAAUCCCACAUAGGCGUAUCCAAACGCACAAGGUCCGAAGAUCCCCUGCUUUGCUCCUAAGAGAGUAUGCGGUAUUAGCCAUCGUUUCCAGUGGUUAUCCCCCUCGUCUGGGCAACUUCCUAUGCAUUACUCACCCGUCCGCCGCUCGUCAGCAGAUAGCAAGCUAUCUCUGUUACCGCUCGACUUGCAUGUGUUAGGCCUGCCGCCAGCGUCAAUCUGAGCCAGGAUCAAACUCU